UCUCAGAAAACAAACAAACAGAAAAUUAAAGUCUUCUCUUCGAUUCUCAUUUUUUAUUGCUUCGUCAAAGAAGAAAAAGAAUGAGAAAGAAAAGGAAUAGUCCUUGAUAAUAAAGAAGAUUUUUGUAUUUAAACUCUUAAUUUUCAUAACAUUAUUCAGGUAUUAUUUCUGAAUGCCAGCAAGAAAGAUCUCAGCUGAAGAACAGGGAGCUGGCUAUGAAAAAGUUACGUGCAAGGUUAUACAGCAUGCGUCUAGAGGAAGAAACUGCUAAAAGAUACAGCGCUCGAAAGAUCCAGGUUGGAACUAAAGGAAGAUCAGAGAAAAUAAGAACAUACAACUUUCCACAAAAUAGGGUCACAGAUCACAGAAUAAACAAAUCACUACAUGACCUUGAGAGCUUCAUGCAAGGAGACUGUCUUCUGGAUGACCUGAUACAGUCACUGAAGGACUAUUCAGAUUAUGAAUCUCUAGUAGAAAUGAUUUCCAGAAAAGACUAAGCUUCUUUGUAAAGAUAUAUGUUUUUAAUAUACACUGGGAAAAUUCU
rnacentral:lncRNA from 1 species